rnacentral:tRNA from 1 species
GAUAAUUUAGCUUAUAAAAAGUAUGGCCUUGAAGAGGCUAAGAAGAAGUUAUUAUUCAGUUAUCA